CCACGCGGAGGCAGUGCGCCUGGGAUGACACCCCGGGACUUACUCCAUUCCUCCAGCCCCUAUCCUUGUCACCCUCCCAGAUUGUGAGUUUGGAAGGAGAAGAAGCUGGGCAGAAAUCACCGAAACCCUCUUGGGUCCGCUCUCCCGUGUUGUAAAUCUCACGGAACAGGCCAUCUGGUCCAGGUCUGCCACAGUGGGUAGGUUACGGCAGCAUCGCCGGAGCUGUUUAAAAUGUAACAAACCAACAAACUCUCAGGGAGCUGAAGGAUGCCUACCCCUGCCAUGGUCCCUGCCAUGCAGCCAGGAAAGUUGUUAAAUGCCAGCCCAUCUGGUCUGCUUGGAACCCUUGGAUGGAAAGAGGACUCACCCCUCCAAACAUCUGAACUUGAUCUCUACAAACGAGAAGUCUUGGGACCAGAAAGCCCCCAGGGGUGAAAGAGGAAAAGUGAGAGCCAUCGCGUCCCUCCAUUCCUAGGACCCAAGACUCAGCGAUCAAAACAGACCCUGCCAGGUAAAAUAUAGAGCACACGGAUAAAUGAUGAAUACUUAAAACAAAACAGCUUAUUUAUUCAUUUCACUGUGCUGCCUUUCAUGUGAGAUCUUAGUUCC
rnacentral:lncRNA from 1 species